rnacentral:lncRNA from 1 species
AUCGACAUAACCCUCCUUGAGGCGGGAUUCCAGGGGGUCGAGAAGGCCGAAGGACCGAGGGGCGCCAGGCACAGGGCACUUCCCGUUGGCGACACGGUGACACGGGGCUGGCGCGCCUGGGACUUCGCGGCGGAGGGGAGCGAGUGCGGGCCUGCGGCCCGGGACGAGAGAAUCGUCGGAGGGGACGGGGCAGGUGGCCUGAGCGGACGCGGGAGCCGGGAGCGUGGAGGGCGCGCGGGGGGCGCGAGCCGCGGCACGGGCGCCCCGGCUCCGCGCGCGGCGGGGCGGCAGGGCGGGCGGGCGGCGGGGCGGGGCGCGGGCCGCGCGGGGCUGGAAGCCGCCGGCGAGGGCGCCCGCGGGCGGAGCCGGAGCCCCAGCGACGCCGAGACCGCGGGUGCCGGCGCUCGAGCAGCAGGUCAGUGGGGGCCGCGGGUCUGGGGUCGCAGGCGGGCGGCCAGGGUCGUGGGGCCGGGAGCGCGGGCGGCGCGGACCCCCUCCUUCAGGCGCGCAGCCGCUGUGUCUCUUCCCGCCGCUCCGACAGCCGGUUCGAGGGCUGUGGUCCGCGCCCCGCCGGCGGCGGGCGCGGGGGCAGCUCGGGCGCGCCGCCGGCUCCCCAGCCCGGUCGGGGGGCGCUGCGCGGACCCCUCCGGGCCGCCCCCCGACUGGACCGGAAGGCGCGCGGGGCAGGCGGCGAGGGGAAGGGGCGAGAGCGCGCGGCCCCGCGCAGGGGCGGGGGCGGCCCCGGUGCGCCCGGGGCCCCGGGCCCUCGUCGAGCCUGCGGGGGCCGCAGAGGCCGGCCGGAGCGGAGCGGGCGGCCCCCGCGGGCCGGGACUUCCACAGGCGGAGCGCCCGAGCGUCCCGACGUCCCGGGUAGGCAGGCUGAGCGGACGGCGUCCGAGCGCCUGGGGCGCGGCGAGGGACGGAGCUGAGCGCUGGCCGAGCGCGGGCGCGUCCGGUGGGCGCUGGUGGCGGGAACGGCCUCGGGGACCCGCCCCGGGGGAGGCCGGGGUGGGGACAGUCCUGGCGGCCCGCUGGGGCCGCCCUGAGCCAAGGCGGAACUGGCGGGAACGGUGGUGGCCCUCGAGGGGCUUGGCUCCGGGUGCCCAGGGGAUGGGGGGGCCCGGGCCAGCGAGCGGAGAUGUCUGCGCUGGGGCGCGGCCACCGCGAUGUAGACUUCAGUUUCCCCGACUGUACAAUGGGAGGAAGGCGGGGGCCAAGGGCUCCGCGGGGGAGAGGAGAGAAGCUGGGAGCGGAGGGCGUGUCCCCACCCCCUUUUCUCUGUACCGCAGCUGACCCCCGGGGGACG